rnacentral:rRNA from 1 species
UGGGGAAUAUUGCACAAUGGGCGCAAGCCUGAUGCAGCCAUGCCGCGUGUAUGAAGAAGGCCUUCGGGUUGUAAAGUACUUUCAGCGGGGAGGAAGGUGUUGUGGUUAAUAACCGCAGCAAUUGACGUUACCCGCAGAAGAAGCACCGGCUAACUCCGUGCCAGCAGCCGCGGCAGUACGGAGGGUGCAAGCGUUAAUCGGAAUUACUGGGCGUAAAGCGCACGCAGGCGGUCUGUCAAGUCGGAUGUGAAAUCCCCGGGCUCAACCUGGGAACUGCAUUCGAAACUGGCAGGCUAGAGUCUUAUAGAGGGGGGUAGAAUUCCAGGUGUAGCGGUGAAAUGCGUAGAGAUCUGGAGGAAUACCGGUGGCGAAGGCGGCCCCCUGGACAAAGACUGACGCUCAGGUGCGAAAGCGUGGGGAGCAAACAGGAUUAGAUACCCUGGUAGUCCACGCCGUAAACGAUGUCGACUUGGAGGUUGUGCCCUUGAGGUGUGGCUUCCGGAGCUAACGCGUUAAGUCGACCGCCUGGGGAGUACGGCCGCAAGGUUA